rnacentral:rRNA from 1 species
UACGAGUGCGCCGAGCGUUAUCCGGAAUCAUUGGGCGUAAAGGGUGUGUAGGUGGCGUUGUUAGUCUCAUGUUAAAUUCCUCGGCUCAACCGGGGGCUCGCGGGAGAAACGGCAAUGCUAGAGGUUGGUAGGGGUUUCUGGAACUCUAAGUGUAGCGGUGAAAUGCGUUGAUAUUUAGGGGAACACCAAAAGCGAAGGCAGGAAACUGGACCAUACCUGACACUGAAACACGAAAGCGUGGGUAGCGAAUGGG